CUCAAUCUCCCUCUCACUCUCCCUCCCUCGAUCUCCCUCUCCCUUGAUCUCCCUCUCUUUCGAUCUCCUUCUCCCGAUCUCAACCCUCUCUCUUGAUCUCCCUCUCCCGAUCUCAACCCUCUCUCUCGAUCUCCCUCUCACUCUCCCUCCCUCUCUCAAUCUCUAUCUCGUUCUGAGUAACAGGUGUGGAGCCUCUAGCACAAGUGGUGAAUGCGCCAACUGCUGCAGAUCAUGGCCAAGCUGCUACUCCAGCAGUGGUCAUUGCUCUAGGCCUUGUGGUAAUCUGCUUGCAGCCGCCAGGGUGAAGAAUCGUGGCCGUCGAGUUCUGUAAUGGCAUCAAUGACCUCAACAAUGUCUUCUUUCCGGAGGUCCGUGGAAGCUCUGCCAAGGUCAAUGAUUGGGGUCAAGUUCGCAACUCGGAGCUUGAACGUCGACGAGAAGGUCGCCAAAGCUUAGAUUCGGGGUACGACUGAGCAAGAGAGGCGAUUUUCUUCAAAACCCCUCUGUUUCCAUUUUUCUAAUCAGUGUUUUUUUA